UGGGGAAUAUUGCGCAAUGGGGGCAACCCUGACGCAGCAAUACCGCGUGAGUGAAGAAGGUUUUCGGAUCGUAAAGCUCUGUUAUUGGGGAAGAAGAAAAGACGGUACCCAAGAAGAAAGUCCCGGCUAACUACGUGCCAGCAGCCGCGGUAAUACGGAGGGGACAAGCGUUGUCCGGAUUUACUGGGCGUAAAGGGCACGCAGGCGGUUUUUUAAGUCAGAUGUGAAAGGUACCGGCUUAACCGGUGGCAGGCAUUGGAAACUAAAAGGCUUGAGUAUUGUAGAGGCAAGUGGAAUUCCUGGUGUAGCGGUGAAAUGCGUAGAUAUUAGGAGGAACACCGGUGGCGAAGGCGGCUUGCUGGACAAAUACUGACGCUGAGGUGCGAAAGCGUGGGGAGCAAACA
rnacentral:rRNA from 1 species